rnacentral:rRNA from 1 species
AGUGAACGCUGGCGGUAGGCCUAACACAUGCAAGUCGAACGGCAGCACAGUAAGAGCUUGCUCUUACGGGUGGCGAGUGGCGGACGGGUGAGGAAUACAUCGGAAUCUACUUUUUCGUGGGGGAUAACGUAGGGAAACUUACGCUAAUACCGCAUACGACCUACGGGUGAAAGCAGGGGAUCUUCGGACCUUGCGCGAUUGAAUGAGCCGAUGUCGGAUUAGCUAGUUGGCGGGGUAAAGGCCCACCAAGGCGACGAUCCGUAGCUGGUCUGAGAGGAUGAUCAGCCCCACUGGAACUGAGACACGGUCCAGACUCCUACGGGAGGCAGCAGUGGGGAAUAUUGGACAAUGGGCGCAAGCCUGAUCCAGCCAUACCGCGUGGGGGAAGAAGGCCUUCGGGUUGGAAAGCCCUUUUGGUGGGAAAGAAAAGGAGCAGGUUAAUACCCCGCUGUUCUGACGGUACCCAAAGAAUAAGCACCGGCUAACUUCGUG